rnacentral:rRNA from 1 species
GAUGAACGCUAGCGGCAGGCUUAACACAUGCAAGUCGAGGGGUAACAGGGAGAAGCUUGCUUUUCUGCUGACGACCGGCGCACGGGUGCGUAACGCGUAUGCAACCUACCUUCUACAGGGGGAUAGCCCAGAGAAAUUUGGAAUAAUACCCCAUACGAUCAAUGAUUGGCAUCGAUUAUUGAAGAAAACUCCGGUGGUAGAAGAUGGGCAUGCGUCCUAUUAGUUAGUUGGUGAGGUAACGGCUCACCAAGACGUCGAUAGGUAGGGGCCCUGAGAGGGGGAUCCCCCACACUGGUACUGAGACACGGACCAGACUCCUACGGGAGGCAGCAGUGAGGAAUAUUGGACAAUGGGGGCAACCCUGAUCCAGCCAUGCCGCGUGCAGGAAGACUGCCCUAUGGGUUGUAAACUGCUUUUAUACAGGAAGAAACCUACUUACGUGUAAGUAGCUGACGGUACUGUAAGAAUAAGGAUCGGCUAACCCCGUGCCAGCAGCCGCGGUAAUACGGAGGAUCCAAGCGUUAUCCGGAAUCAUUGGGUUUAAAGGGUCCGUAGGUGGUUAAUUAAGUCAGAGGUGAAAGCCAGCAGCUCAACUGUUGAACUGCCUUUGAUACUGAUUAACUUGAGUUAUUGUGAAGUAGUUAGAAUAUGUAGUGUAGCGGUGAAAUGCAUAGAUAUUACAUAGAAUACCGAUUGCGAAGGCAGAUUACUAACAAUACACUGACACUGAGGGACGAAAGCGUGGGUAGCGAACAGGAUUAGAUACCCUGGUAGUCCACGCCGUAAACGAUGGUCACUAGCUGUUUGACCAACAUUGGUUGGUUGAGUGGCUAAGCGAAAGUGAUAAGUGACCCACCUGGGGAGUACGCUCGCAAGAGUGAAACUCAAAGGAAUUGACGG